rnacentral:rRNA from 1 species
CGUUGUCCGGAUUAUUGGGCGUAAAGAGCUUGUAGGCGGUUUGUCGCGUCUGCUGUGAAAGGCCGGGGCUUAACUCCGUGUAUUGCAGUGGGUACGGGCAGACUAGAGUGCAGUAGGGGAGACUGGAAUUCCUGGUGUAGCGGUGGAAUGCGCAGAUAUCAGGAGGAACACCGAUGGCGAAGGCAGGUCUCUGGGCUGUAACUGACGCUGAGAAGCGAAAGCAUGGGGAGCGAACAGGAUUAGAUACCCUGGUAGUCCAUGCCGUAAACGUUGGGCACUAGGUGUGGGGGACAUUCCACGUUUUCCGCGCCGUAGCUAACGCAUUAAGUGCCCCGCCUGGGGAGUACGGCCGCAAGGCUAAAACUCAAAGAAAUUGACGGGGGCCCGCACAAGCGGCGGAGCAUGCGGAUUAAUUCGAUGCAACGCGAAGAACCUUACCAAGGCUUGACAUAUACUGGACCGCAUCAGAGAUGGUGUUUCCCUUCGGGGCUGGUAUACAGGUGGUGCAUGGUUGUCGUCAGCUCGUGUCGUGAG